rnacentral:rRNA from 1 species
CUACGGGCGGCUGCAGUGGGGAAUAUUGGACAAUGGGCGAAAGCCUGAUCCAGCAAUGCCGCGUGAGUGAAGAAGGCCUUCGGGUUGUAAAACUCUUUCAGUAGGGAAGAUAAUGACGGUACCUACAGAAGAAGCACCGGCUAACUUCGUGCCAGCAGCCGCGGUAAUACGAAGGGUGCUAGCGUUGUUCGGAAUUAUUGGGCGUAAAGAGCGCGUAGGCGGCCUAGUAAGUUGGAGGUUAAAUCCCAGAGCUUAACUCUGGAACUGCUUUCAAAACUGCUAAGCUAGAGUUUGAUAGAGGAUGAUGGAAUUCCUAGUGUAGAGGUGAAAUUCGUAGAUAUUAGGAGGAACACCGGUGGCGAAGGCGAUCAUCUGGGUCAAAACUGACGCUGUGGCGCGAAAGCGUGGGGAGCAAACAGGAUUAGAUACCCCGGUAGUC